rnacentral:sRNA from 2 species
CCCUAUCUGUGUUUCUAGAAGUUAGCUUCUAAGGGAAUUACUUUUUGUAUCUAUAUCUCUAUUUAAAUUAUCUUACUGAAAAACAUGCGCUUUUGAUCACAGUGCUACUCUGGCGAAUUCCUCAUUUAAAUCGUUUCUUAAUCCGAGAAUAUAUGACUGUUUUCAACAAUAUACAUCUUAAAUACUGAUUCAAUCAAUAUCAAUAUACGCGGUAUGAUGGGACUUCCAGUGAUGCAGGCUCCUACCAUCCAUGACAUAGAUCCCAGAAAAUCACAAGAUUCUCCCUUCGUCAUAGUGUAAUCUCUCAAUGCAUACACAUUGCCAAAGUUUCG